UACGGGGGGGGCAAGCGUUGUUCGGAAUUACUGGGCGUAAAGGGCUCGUAGGCGGCCGGCUAAGUCCGACGUGAAAUCCCCAGGCUUAACCUGGGAACUGCGUCGGAUACUGGCGGGCUUGAAUCCGGGAGAGGGAUGCGGAAUUCCAGGUGUAGCGGUGAAAUGCGUAGAUAUCUGGAGGAACACCGGUGGCGAAGGCAGCUCGCUGGGACGUGACUGACGCUGAGACGCGAAAGCGUGGGGAGCAGACAGG
rnacentral:rRNA from 1 species